rnacentral:rRNA from 1 species
AUUGAACGCUGGCGGCAUGCCUUACACAUGCAAGUCGAACGGUAACAGGUUAAGCUGUCGCGUGGCGAACGGGUGAGUAAUACAUCGGAACGUGCCCAGUAGUGGGGGAUAGCCCGGCGAAAGCCGGAUUAAUACCGCAUACGACCUAAGGGUGAAAGGGGGGGAUCGCAAGACCUCUCGCUAUUGGACCUGCCGAUGUCAGAUUAGCUAGUUGGUGGGGUAAAAGCUCACCAAGGCGACGAUCUGUAGCUGGUCUGAGAGGACGACCAGCCACACUGGGACUGAGACACGGCCCAGACUCCUACGGGAGGCAGCAGUGGGGAAUUUUGGACAAUGGGCGCAAGCCUGAUCCAGCCAUGCCGCGUGCGGGAAGAAGGCCUUCGGGUUGUAAACCGCUUUUGUCAGGGAAGAAAUCCUUUGGGUUAAUACCUCGGGGGGAUGACGGUACCUGAAGAAUAAGCACCGGCUAACUACGUG